GAAGGCGGUGAGCUGGAACCAGAGGGAAGGGAGGGCAUUCUUCCCAGGCAAGCCAGAGGGACUAAGGACACUCCAAAAUUGCCUGCAAAGAUAACGGUGAGUGCUAUGAAGAAAGUAAAAUAGCUUUACAAUAGCUUCAUGGGAGCAUCAGAAGAGACUGCUACUUCAGAUGGAAAACGAGGGAGCUCACUGAAGAGGGCACGUUUGAGCUGAGAUCUGGGUAAGGAUAAGACAGUGAUUGUGCCAGUACCUAGGGGAAGAGUGUUGCAGGCGAAGGGAAUGGCACCUAGGCACAGACACCUACCUGGAUGGAGUGCAAAAAGGGGAGGGAUCGCUGUGUCUUCAGUGUACAGAAUGGACUCUCGGAGGCCCAGGUAGAAGCUGGGAGGCCAGUUAGACGGUGUCACCAACCAUCCAGGGGAGAGGACACAUGGCAUCAGGGAAGUCAGGAGGCGGGAGAAGUGCGCAGAUUCCAGGCUGCUAUUGUUUGAGGCCGAAGGACAAUGAGUCACUUGUGUCUAGUGCUACUGGGCGUGCUGCUGGUUCUAGGAUUUCAGAGUGACCUGGGGUGAAGCAAGGACCUGGUGCACCUCAAAGGCAAGAGGCCCUUAGAUCCGCGCCCGCCCAUCUCUCCUGGUCUGUCCCCCGCCUUUCCAAAGGCCCUGCCCCGUCAUAACAUGCACGCUCCUUGUUUGUUCAGAAUAAAAUCUCUAAUGCUUUCUGAGCACAUGAGGACUGAUUUCCUUAAAUCAUUUUUAAGAAUUUGAGGGAUGACAAGUGCAGACGAUGGAAACCUCCCUGUGUACACCAGCAGAGACUUUUAACCGCUUCCUGCCUAGGUAACACAGUCCGAUAGGCCAGUGCGUAGUUAAACUCUCUGGCUGUGGCUCUGACUGUCUGGGGUCAAAGCUGAGCUCCACCACUUUACUAACCUGAGGAUGCAUCAGUUUCCACGUCUGCAGAAUGGAGAUAAUAGUAAUAAUAAUGAAACUUAUCUCAAAAGGGUGGGAGUCCAUGAAGCGUAGCUAACACUUUUUCCUG